rnacentral:lncRNA from 1 species
ACUGCUCAAAAUCACUGACGAAUCACAACAUCUCUCGUGCCGUAGCUUGCCCUAAGCAUGGCAGCGACCCGCUUGGCCUCGUUCGGUUAAUAAUCCUCCUGCUAUGGGAUUAGACCCUGAGAUGGUUGGGAGGGAAUUGAGGGGAUUUUGGAUUUAUUAACCCCCCCUCAACCCCUCCAAACAGAGCAAGGCUAAAAUUUCAGAGAAAAUAAACACAGGACUGAAGAACAAAUAAGUAGUAGGAGUAGUAUGGAGUGCUUGUAUUGGGAACGAGACUGCUUGGACUGGUACAUAGGCAGAUGCAGCAUCGAUCGAGCGUCUCAUUACACAUCUAUACAGCCUGCACUCCAUCUCCAUGGAAGGGAAUUUAAACCUAUUAUUACACUAUGGAAGAAGGAAAUUUAACCUGUUACAAGUUUACCACUACUACUAUUACUCCAUUGACCACAGCGCUACGGGGUAUCACAUACAGUAAAAAGAAAGAACUGCUACUGCUACUACUACCUGACCUAGCUACGGGUACCACGAACUGACCUAAUCGAGUAGUAGUAGCAUAGAGCACGAGUACAGCAGUAAAAACGCGGUACCAAAUCUUACACUAGCUGCCUACCGCGACCAGCACCGGCAGGCCAAAACGGCUUGGCCGGCCGGGGAGACGCACGUCCUGCUGGCGAGCUAGCUCUUGCUGGGCCCCGGCGACGGCGAGGCGCUCGGCGGCGCCACCCUGCGGCGCUUGAGCUUGGCCUUCUUCUCGGGCGGCGGCGGCGGCGCGUGCGGGCGCCAGAAGAGGCGCUCCAGCUCAUCCAGCCGCAGGCUGAACACCUCCACCUCGAACAGCCGCUUCCGGCACGGCGCGGCCGGCGCCCGCGGCUUCCUCGGCGCCGGCGGGCACGUCGCGGACGCCUGCUUCAGCUCGCUCCCCUUGCCCGUUGGCGUCCGGCAGCACUGCUCCUCCCACGCGCCUGCCUGCUGGUCCACUCCUCCUGCUACUCCUGCUCCGCCGGCCGCUCUUGGGGCGACAUCUCCGCGCGGGGCAAGCGGCGAGCGGCAUGGGGAGAAGGCCGGCGCCGGCUAGUAGAACUCGGGCGACGCCGACAUGGCUGGUCUCGAAUCUCGAUGCCGGCCGGCGGCACCUACUCUUGUGCGUGCCUGUGAGAGAGAAGGAAGAAGGAAGAGGAGAGGGAGCUUCUUGGGUUGGUGGUGGUGCGUGGCGUGUGGCGGCGCGUGCGGGGUAGUGGAGGGAACGAGGGAGCUCGAGGAGGAGGAGGAGGGGAGGUUGCUUGGGGCACUUUGUUGCUGAUGCGAUGUGAGGUGGGUUUAGCUGGGGAUAUGCUCCGGUUUUGGGAGAAAGGGCCCCCCUUUGUAGCCGCACUUUUGUAUUGGGCGCGUGUCCUUUUGUGCCCACCACGGCUAGUUCGAUUUCGUUAUUGCGUUUAGGUCCUUGUACUACUGUUUCUCUUUGCACUGCUAGUUUAGUUGUACAUACAGAUACAGGCGGUGGUGCGGCCAGGAUAGGACUACCGGCAGUGGAGCCCUUGUUGGCCGUAUUUAACCUAAACUCCGCUUCACUUUUACCUCAUCUUAUCCUAAGCAAUCCAAACUACUCCCUCCGUCGCAUAACGUCUUACACAUAGACAUUAAGGCAUAUNNNNNNNNNNNNNNNNNNNNNNNNNNNNNNNNNNNNNNNNNNNNNNNNNNNNNNNNNNNNNNNNNNNNNNNNNNNNNNNNNNNNNNNNNNNNNNNNNNNNNNNNNNNNNNNNNNNNNNNNNNNNNNNNNNNNNNNNNNNNNNNNNNNNNNNNNNNNNNNNNNNNNNNNNNNNNNNNNNNNNNNNNNNNNNNNNNNNNNNNNNNNNNNNNNNNNNNNNNNNNNNNNNNNNNNNNNNNNNNNNNNNNNNNNNNNNNNNNNNNNNNNNNNNNNNNNNNNNNNNNNNNNNNNNNNNNNNNNNNNNNNNNNNNNNNNNNNNNNNNNNNNNNNNNNNNNNNNNNNNNNNNNNNNNNNNNNNNNNNNNNNNNNNNNNNAUACAUAUUCUCUAACGAGGAAAACAUAUCCUAUCAUUCGGUGGUUGUUAUCCUCAUGUCACAUAUACCCCCUCCGUCCAUAAGAGCGUUUUCGACACUACACUAGUGUCAAAAACGCUCUUAUAUUAUGGGAUGAAGGGAGUACUAUCACAUGGUAUUACAUAUUACUUUAUCGAUCUAAGUAUGUUCAUAUACUAUAUCUAAGAUCAAAACAAGCUAUAUGAAAAAACUACACGUGAGUUCAUAAUUUUUAGCAUAUUAAAAAAUAUAUUUAUACCUAUAAAACAAUAUACUAAAAAAGUAUAUACUACCUAAAAAGUAUAUAUACUAGCUACUAUGCGUGCAUACUCUCUGGUUUGAUAGACACUGCAUACAACAUGCAAAACCCACAUGAGUGUAACUACCAUCAGGUGAUAGAAACAUUUGUCCUUUUCGAAAUAAUACUUUUCAGCUUGGGAACAUUUUGUUUUUCCCACUAACUUUUGCCAAUUUUACUUUUGCCACACUAAAUUUGACAUUUCACUUUUGCCACUAUAGCUUUUGACAAUGUAUCACAAUUGGCAUUUCGUGACAAAAGCAAAAAAUAUUAUUUUUUACUUUUGUCACUAUUAGCUUUUGACAAUGUAUCACAAUUGCAACUAAUUUUUUUGCUUUUGCCACGGAAUGUCAAUUGUGAUACAUUGUCAAAAUCUAAGAGUGGCAAAAGUUAAACGUCAAAUUUGAGAGUGGCAUAAGUAAAAUUGGCAAAAUCUAGAGUGGUAGAAACAAAAUUUUCUCUUUCUUUUUUGAUAUUAAAAAUAUAGAAAGAUUCUUGAAAACAUGUCAGCUAAGUUAGUUAUCUUAGAAGUCAUCAUCACACUAAAUAACAAUUUUGUGGGCGAAUCUCAUGAAUUGUGUUAGUAUCAAUUCCACAACAAAAAAUGGGUAAAUCUACUACUACUCAUUCCUUUUCAAAAUGUUACUCAUUGUAGAAAUUGCAUUGGUCAACCUUUACAUGUUUGAUUAUCAAUCCAGAAUAGUUGUCAACAUUGAAAACAUCAAACUUACAAUAUUGGAAUGUAUACCUAUUUUUAAUAGAUGACCAAAGCAGACUGUAUAAAUAUCCCAAAAACCAGCAUUUCAAACACGGAGGGAGUAGUGUUGUGUUGGAAUAGCGUGAAGAAAUCUAAGAAAGAGCAUCACCCAUUGUGCACUUGACGCUUUGCCAGAUUCUGACUUUGAACAAAUUGUAGUAGAUAGUUGCUAUGUCUUUGAACCUAGCACGGGCCAUGCCUCGAAAUGUAAUUGCCAAUUCGCGCCGAGGAGGUCCAAGUGGCUAUAGCUGAAGCCGCCUUCCGUAAAGCUAAAACUCUCAGGCAAGAGGAUAAGAAUUUUGAUACAGUCUGCGUUGAGGGGGAUGGAGUCGGCCCCGGAAACUUAGAAAGCUCAUAAUCACUCAGUACUUGUGUCACAUUUGAGGAAACAACGAUGCUUGAGAAAAUAUUAUCUAGUUUGAGGAAACAACGAUGCCUAAGAAAACGAGUUGGGCAGUGCAAAAGGUCCAUUUACUAAUGUUGCGGAACAAUUCCUGGCUACGUAGCACUUCAUUGCAACAUGCAUCAGAUGAUUAUCAAGAUAUUUCUAUUAACUAGAAUGUCAUCGAAGUAAAAAACAACAACUUGGUGUCGCCUUACUGACACCAAUCGUCAAUGCAACCUUCCAUUCUUCCUUGCUAAUUGCCUCUCACUUGGUCGAUCAUCGACGCAUCGGAUACUAGCGAGUCUUCGGAUCAAGAGGAGAAAGGAGAUAAAUAGUUAUACAAUAAUAUAGAGAUAAUCAUAAAGUGGAUCCCGUGGGUAGAACGUAAAUGGUGUUGGGAACGUAGCAUGCAAUUUCAAAAAAUUUCCUACGAUCACGCAAGAUCUAUCUAGGAGAUGCAUAGCAACGAGAGGGGGAGAGUGUGUCCAUGUACCCUCGUAGACCGAAAGCGGAAGCGUUAGGUUAACGCGGUUGAUGUAGUCGAACGUCUUCGCGAUCCAACCAAUCAAGUACCGAACGUACGACACCUCUGAAUUCUGCACACGUUCAGCUCGAUGACGUCCCUCGAACUCUUGAUCCAGCAGAGGGUCGAGGGAGAGUUUCAUCAGCACGACGGCGUGGUGACGGUGAUGGUGAUGUGAUCUGCGCAGGGCUUCGCCUAAGCACUACGAGCUAUGACCAGAGGAGCAAGCUGGGGAGAGAGACGCCGCACACGGCUUGGAACAAUUGUUGUGUCUCCAAGGGGUGCCCUGCCCACGUAUAUAAAGGAGGGAGAGGGAGGAGGCCGGCCCUAGGGGGCGCGCCAUAACGGGGGAGUCCUACUAGGACUCCCAGUCCUAGUAGGAUUCGCCUCCCCUUCUUUCCUUCUCAUGGAGGGGGAAAGGGGGAAAGGAGAGGGAGUAGGACAAGAAAAGGGGGGUGGCGCCCCCUUCCCUAGUCCAAUUCGGCCUCAUCCCUUGUGGGGGGCGCACCAGCCCCUUGUGGGCUUGUUAGCCUCCCUCCUAUGGCCCAUAUGUUUCCCCGGGGGGUUCCGGUAACCUCUUCGGUACUCCGAUAUGUACCCGAUACACUCCGGAACCCUUCGGUGUCCGAAUACUACCUUCCAAUAUAUCAAUCUUUACCUCUCGACCAUUUCGAGACUCCUCAUCAUGUCCGUAAUCUCAUCCGAGACUCCGAACAAACUUUGGUCACCAAAACACAUAACUCAUAAUACAAAUCGUCAUCGAACGUUAAGCGUGCGGACCCUACGGGUUCGAGAACUAUGUAGACAUGACCGAGACACAUCUCCGGUCAAUAACCAAUAGCGGAUCCUGGAUGCUCAUAUUGGUUCCUACAUAUUCUACGAAGAUCUUUAUCGGUCAAACCGCAUAACAACAUACGUCAUUCCCUUUGUGAUCGGUAUGUUACUUGCCCGAGAUUCGAUCGUCGGUAUCAUCAUACCUAGUUCAAUCUCGUUACCGGCAAGUCUCCUUACUCGUUUCAUAAUGCAUCAUCCCGUAACUAACUCAUUAGUCACAUUGCUUGCAAGGCUUAUAGUGAUGUGCAUUACCGAGAGGGCCCAGAGAUACCUCUCCGAUACUCGGAGUGACAAAUCCUAAUCUUGAUCUAUGCCAACCCAACAAACACCUUCGGAGACACCUGUAGAGCAUCUUUAUAAUCACCCAGUUACGUUGUGACGUUUGAUAGCACACAAGGUGUUCCUCCGGUAUUCGGGAGUUGCAUAAUCUCAUAGUCAGAGGAACAUGUAUAAGUCAUGAAGAAAGCAAUAGCAAUAAAACUAAAGGAUCAUUAUGCUAAGCUACCGGAUGGGUCUUGUCCAUCACAUCAUUCUCUAAUGAUGUGAUCCCGUUCAUCAAAUGACAACACAUGUCUAUGGUUAGGAAACUUAACCAUCUUUGAUUAACGAGCUAGUCAAGUAGAGGCAUACUAGGGACACUUUGUUUUGUCUAUGUAUUCACACAUGUAUCAAGUUUCCAGUUAAUACAAUUCUAGCAUGAAUAAUAAACAUUUAUCAUGAUAUAAAGAAAUAUAAAUAACAACUUUAUUAUUGCCUCUAGGGCAUAUUUCCUUCACAUGGGUUGUGUGGCUAUGCCUCAACCCUCAGCUUGUGAGAAUUACCCAUGCAUUGCAAUUGAAUAAAAAAUAAGAGGCAUUCUAGAUGGGUUUAUUUGAUGAUGAAUGAUUAACUAUCUUACAUUAUUGCAGACCAUGAUGGAAUCUCGAGUGCAAGUAUAUCUCAGGGAGAUGAAGAUGGUGACUGCUCCUAGGGGGAGACGUUGGCGGAGCUCAUGCAUAAUUGAAAUGACCUGGUAUGGUAGCGAGCCGGCGGCUCCAUAGUCCUCCUUUAUAUAGUGUAGAUCGUCUGGAAUAGGAUUUCAGGGGUGAAGCAUUGCGAAGUGGACCUCGAGCCCAACAGAGAAGUGCCUUGGAUGGACUUCUCGGCUCCGAUUCCAGGCGGUACGACCAUCGGUAUGAUCACACCCCACUCGCACCAGAGGUUGUAUCAAUUUUGGAGUCACCCAUGUGGUCUUCUUUAUAUGGAAAUGAUCCUCUCUUGAUGUAUUGCCUGGUCAUGUCUUCAUUUCCUCCAGAUUACAUCCAUAUCUACACAUACAUCAGAACAAGGUUACUUGCAUAUUGUUGCAAUUAUUAGUGAUUAUUAGGACAAUUGAAGUAAUAAUCACAUAGAAAAUCAAGUUUAAACGCAUGAAAAUAUGAGUGUAAAAUCCACUCAUUUAAAUCCCCAAGCUUAAGCUUCCAUUGUCAUUGCACAAGAAUACCAACCCAUAAAGAACUUGGAGUUUAAACUAAAAUUGGAAGAAGGUUAGCUUCACUUACGAUUGGUAAUGCCUAGGUAGGUCUACAUGUUCUUUCAUAUGAAAAUGUAUCAUAGCUACAACAACAACUUGGUUAAUACAAAUGAUUGUUAGGCCACUACACUUAGGAAAAAACUAUUAUUAUAGAGUUAAAUUAGUUAGCUAACAUUUAUUUUAUUGCUAGCUAGUCAACACUUGUUUGACGGGAAAACUAAAAAGUAAGUAAAGCUUUAUUAAGAGUGUGAGAUAGUGUUGAAAAGAAAGAGCAAAACCAGAGUACCAUGUUACUCUUCCACAAAUAUUAUCUAGUCAAGCCUUUCAAGUGCUCAAUUCAGUCAUUGUGCUUAACGUCGAUAUCUGUCUCCCGGUAAACAAGACCUGUCCAAAAGUGAUAUAUGUAAAGUGGGGAUGUGUUUGUGGGAGGAGUUGCAAUAUCUAAUGUAGCGUUGCCGCUAAAAUGAGAUCCCACUCGUAACCGAGAUCAGAGAUUUACCCUUGGUGGAUCACUCAUUGGUCAUUGAGUGCUAAACUUUCACAAGGCAUAUCACAAAUCUUAGAGAAAGCAAAAUAUUACACCUCAUAGCAUUGCUGGUACGUGCGUGAACCACCAGCGGAGUAGCCAACUUUCUCUUAUUGUCACAAAGGGCCUAAGACACACACACACAUCAUAUUUUAAUGUUUGAGAGACAUGUUUUGGCUUGUUGCAAUCCCAAAAAAUUCGAAACAUCAAUUUCAUCGGCCAACUUCCUCCUUAAGCAAUGUCAAAUCUAUUAUUUCAAGUACUAUGGUGUCGUGUUCCUAUAAGACUAUACCUUUAACACAAUUAUAACAACGACAUCCAAGUUUCAAAGGACUUCUAUUAUUAUGUCUAUUAUAUCUACCUAUCCUUGUCUGCAAACUCAUUCCAAGUAAAUUUUCAUUUUCACGACAACUUGUUACAUUUUUAUUGCCCAAAAUUUUGAUGGGUGGGAAGAGCAAUAUUCUACGAGCUUGUGAUGGUGGCUGAUCAGUGGAUUUUGUAUCAUGUUUUAGAAAUAAUUUGUUGCACAUUUUUGCAUCAAAAUCCAUCAUAUCAUACACAUAUAGCCAUUUUCACAUACAUUUUGCAUAAAUUCUAUUUUAUUGCAUUUAAUAAUAUUUAGAUUUUACUUGGUUUUGCUGUCUUUGCAGGUGUAUUGGAGCUCCCAUUGACUUGACAAGAUAAAAGGAACCAAGAUAGGGCCAAAGUAGAGAAGUUGCAAGCCUAGAUACAGGUCUUUGAUGGAGUUUGAAAAAAAUGAAGUUUUCCAAGAUGCCCAAAUUGAAACUCCAACGCCAUGAGGUUAUUGGGUUCGUUCAUAUGAAUCCAAUGAGCCCAAGAACACCCAACAGAGUUUAUAUGAGGAAAUGGCGAACAAAAUCGAAAUGAAACACAUAGUUCUAGAGGAGAAGGCAAUGCACAAAUGAACUAGGGCUACUCAUAUCGCUGCUCACACCAUACAAUAUGGGCUAUGAUUUGGCUGUAACUUCCAUGGUUCUUCAUUGAUUUUGUCCCCGUAUGUUUCCACACAUUCCUUGAACAUCAAGGAAGGUAUUGGGAGAGGUUGGGACCGCUCUAAAUUCCUUGGAUCAAAGGGAAGGAGGAGGGUCCAUGGAGGAGACCCGUAGAGGCCGACUACACAUACAACACCAACCCUAGCCGUCGGUGCUGUCACAUAUAAAUACCGAGCUGACACACAACCACUGAUGUGGCAAGACUAUGUCUACCAUAGAGGAAGGUCCAAGACAAGGAAGAAGGGAGAGGGAGUCUCCGUUAAAUCUCCGCACCGGACGGAGGGCCAGUGCCAUCUCCACCGGUGUCGCCACGUCUCUCUCCUUCCCCAACAUGAUCUUGACUUAUAACUUGUCUCUGCCCUUUAUGCUAAUCAUGUACAUGUUUGAGUAAUUGCCCUAUUUCUCAGGGAUAUGGAUGAAAUCUUGUACUUGAAUGAAUUGAAUGCGGUGAUAUUCCAUAUAUGAAGUAUGGUUGUGUUAAUGUUCUUCACGAUAUUAUGGGAAGGCCGGCUACACAAUAUUAUCCCUUUGGGACUUGAAGGGUAUUACUACAAUUGCAAAGCUGGGAUGAGGAGGUAUUACAGUGAAAAAAACCUAUCUUGCCCUUCGCCAACGUUUGAUAAGGGGAAUAAGGGAGACCCCAAAGCCUCAUGUCACGUCCAUAGGAAGACCAUUAAUCAUUGUUGCUUCCACCAACAAGGGAAGAGGAUGAUGGUGGCAUGCAUGAUACAGAGCUAUGGCAGAAUGCGCGCGCGCGCACACACACACACACAUAUAUAUAUUUGGCUCUGCCCGAAUAAUACACAUAUAACAUAUAUUAUGUAUCACACAAGGUUGUGAACGGACACGACCGAGUACCUUAAAUACUAGUAGUGAUGAAUCUGAAACCUAUGCUCAAGCAUCGUCUCACUUGGCGUAGUCCCAUUUUAUUAUAGUUUUUGCCUUCUUGUUUGUAGUUAGUUAAUUCUUGUGUUUACCAUCUUUAUAUCAAUAGAUAAAAUUGCACUAUUUCUAAACUACGUUUUGGGCAUAGUUGCGCACGUGACAACGUAGUCACUGGGCCAAUAGUUGCAUUUCUUGGCUCUCUUGGGUUUGAUAUAUAACCGAGCUAAUACUUCUUGUGAAAAUGCUACAACCAGCUUUGUGCACUUGCAGGACACUAGUGCCCCAUAAAAGAAAAGUGUAAGUAAAAAAAUUAGAGAUAAAGGAGGCGCGGGGCCAUUAUAAGUGGCAAUGGUAAAACUACUCUUUCAACUCAUCAAAUUCAGAAGCAAUUGCAAAAUCCUUGGUAGUAGAAGUUGACAACAUUUUAUAAAAAUAAAUGCUUGACAAUCCUGAUCCCUUCUGUGUAGGGCCCAUUCUUCUAAUUUAUGUUAAGUCAAAUCCAUCAAUCUUGCGGCACCAGUUAGAGUGAGCCUAGAGGUCAUCCCGAGUGUAAUAUGUAUUUUUGCUAACAAUUACGGUUGAGUAUAGCAUGAAUGUGAUGCUUCCACUUUCAAAUGAGUGGACCUAGUCACCACCUCGACUUCAUUGAUGUAUAUGUAUUACUUUAUGUUUGCAAUCUAGCCUCGUAUGAUUUGGGAGAUACUCUAUUAUGACCCUAUGGCAUGAUCCAUCUCAAACUAGUUAUACCCAAUGUUAUUACACUACGACUUUCUUGGAGAUUAAAAUUUUAUCUUGAGAUAAGCAUGCCAUACAUCCUCACUCUAUGCAUGCAUAUUCUUAUAUGAUUGUUAUAUUUAAAGCAUGUUCAUAAAUCUCUACACAUGGGUUACGCAAGUGUUCAUAAUUUUUCCUUCGUCGCAUCACUUUGCCAAGUGAAUUGCUUGAGGACAAACAAUAAGUUAAGCUUGGGUGAGCUGAUAUGUCUUAGACAUAUCUAUGUUUCCAAAUACUUUUGCAUAGAUUUUGCCCUCAAAACUUGCUCAUAUAAAUAAAACCUAUAAGGACUGACAAGGUUUUUAGCAAAAUUUCUUUAGUGGUAUCUAUUCUUCUAGGAAACAUCAUCAGAAAAAUUAUAUAAAAAUAACAGGGUUGUUUUUGGACAAAAGGGGAUAAAAAGGCCAAGAUAUGUGGGCCAUAGGAGGGCCUCGGGAGGGCAUGCACAUCGCAUGCACAUAAAUUUCAAGCAAUGUUAGGGAUUUUACCUUUUCUCCUCCUCUGGUUAUCUCUAAAACGCUCUUUUAUUCAACAACAAUAUGAAAACAAAUAAAACUAAGGCGACCUCCAUUCCACAUGGGUUUCUUCCCAUGAAGCGCUUUUGUUUUGGUUCGAGCUCGACCCUAUUGAUAUUGAGAUAGCUUUAGGUGCACUUGCAACCACAUGGCCAGAGUGUCGCAUCUUCGACGUGAUACCUUCAACGCCAUAGACCUUCAUCUUCAUCUUCCUAGAGAAAUGAAAUACAAAUUGUCACAGGGUGUGUGUAAAACUUAAUGUUAACCUCUUGCAUAUUAAUUAAAGACUUAACGAUCCUCAGGAAGGUUCCUUCUAAAAUAAUCAGGCAUUCUCAUAUUUCAACAUGUCUAGAAUGACAAGAUCAAGGAGUACACGAUAAUCUUUGAUUUGCACCACAAUGUUUUCCUUAAUACCCAUAGCUUGCUUAAAAGUCAAACUGGUUAAAUUCAAUAUCAAAUUGCUAAAAACAUAAGGACCAAGACUAAGUUGGUGCAUUGUUGAAGUCAAGUUCUUUAGACAUAUUUUCUUGCUGCUUCUCACCAUAUUUACAAAUUCCACAUGAUUUGGUUUCAUUUCUCCCACAAACUUGCUAGGAUUAGAGUUUGGCUUUCAAACAAUCUUUACAACUAGUGUCUCGAUGUUAUGCGUUCCUUCUUGAACGCAAGCAUGUCAUUUGUAAGUCUAACCAAUUUUUUAGUCAUAUUCUCGUGACAACAUCAUGAACAUUUAGCAAUUCAACAAAGGAAUUAUUUUGCUCGGUCUGAGCAGCAAUAAAAUAUUUUAGAGUUUCCUUCAGGUCUUAAAAUUGCCGUUGCUAUUGCCAUUGUUGUUGCUAAAAUUGUUUGGAUUACCUAUAGGUUUACUUUAGUGCUUCUGAUAAUUAUGUCCAAAAGAAUUUUGUUUUUAAUGGAAUUUUGCAGUUUCCAUGAGCAACGAAAUUAACUUUAUUGGUAUCAGAUUUAGCGCUAACAUAGAUAGAAUUCUUACCUUCUAUGAUGCCAAGGAGCUCGAAGCUCUUCAUUUUUCUCUUCGCCUAUACAAUUUAUCUUAUACGUUGAAGUCCUUUCCACAUGCCAUUGGGUAUGGUUUUCUUGCAUAUCAUCUAGCAAUUUCUUUUCUUCCGGCACAUGGCAUCCCAUGUAGGAGCCUCAUGUAGGAAUGUCUGACAUAUUUUUUGACAAAGGGUUGAAAGCAUCAUGAAAUAUAUAUGGAGGAUAAGCCACUCCUCCAUAUCAUGGUUAGGGAAGUUUCUAACAGUUUCCUUCAUCCUUUCCUAGGCAAGCGCUAGUGGUGUGCAAUCUUCAUGUCUAAAACAUGCGAUAUUAGCACGAAGCUACAUGGCUUUAGCUGGAGGGAAAUGCUUAGUCAUAAAAAAGUUAGAAUAGCCAUUACACAUAGUGAUGGUGCCAUUUUUGUAAUGCAAGCAACUAUUCUUCCCUCUAGCUCUAAGUGAAAAUGGGAAUAGUUCCAGCUAUGUGUCCUUCAUGCAUAUGAUAUCACAUAUCUUAGUGGAAGUAUGGAGUGCAUCCUUAAUGGUGGUCCCUCCAAAUUGGUUUUGUUGAAUCAAAUUAAGCAACUUCUAAUUAAUCUUAUACUAUUGCUCAACCUCAACAUUGGGUUGACUAAUCGACGCACAGACAAUCAUCAUACUGGGUAGCAAAAUCAUCAUGCUUCUUUCCUACUGCAUAUCCCAUUUUUUCUUUAGCCGGAAUAAAAUUUAAAAAAUGGAUACAAAACAAAAACAAAAGUAAAUAAACAUGAACUCUAGUGACCAUACUAGAGCAACAUAAUACUUCCUCGAUAACGACUUUAGAAAAAAGGGUUGACGACCUUGAUCUGAUUUGUAUUGUAGCAAAUGGCCUUCUUACCUAGAGGCAUAUGUCUAUCAAACUAUUAAUUAAUUGUGUAGGUGAAGGCACUUCUAUGACGUACCAGUUAUCACAUAUCAUUCAUGUUUGCUGGACGAGUACACUGCUAUGUUAGAUCACUGCACAAACACAUAGAAAAUUGGGAGCAGCUGUAGAAAACAUAAGGAACUAUGCCAGAGUAGAGGUUUCACCUACAAAACUAUGUACAUAUAUUGGGGUCAUAAGAUAGACAAAUAAGCAUUGUUAUGAUGAAUAGAUAAUAAUGAACUUGUAACUAGAUAUAUAAGUGGGCGAUACGUUCAUGGGGCACCACUACCAACUACCUGUGUAUCGAGGAUUAAGUCAUCCGACCUUGGUCCUAUUAUAUCUUGUGGGUUUACUUGUUUAUUAAGGAUUUACCGUACCAAUGCAUUAGCAUUUAAUGAAUUCAAAUGGAGAUGGUGGUUGUUGCUUGGGGGUGACAACAGUAAAGCUUAGGCGUGAUAGUGAUGACUUGGCAUGGCGGCGAGUGGAUGACUAGGCUCCUCCUUUCCUUUCUAUGGUGCAGAUCAUUGGAAUAGGGUUUUAGGAGAGAAUCUCAUGAACCGGACCUCGUGGCCCAAUAGGGAAGUGCCUUGGGUGGACUUCCGAGGCCAUGUCACGACCGGAUUUUCAGGAUAUUGAUUUCCCAGAAAUACGGCCUGUGAGCUCACCAGCCCCAGGAUUACUGUUAGCUGAUGAGGCACCAACUUGAUACAAGGAAAUCCAAGCAAGUACAAAAAUAUGUAGUACAAGACCAUUCAGGCCUAGGAGUACAACAUUUGGUUCUAAUGGUAGAGGGCGGAAGCGAUUGGGUACAUCUGCGUCUGUGGGACUCCAUUUCCCACAAGAACAGCUGACCAGGAUAACUCCUAUCUUCGCGAGGCUGCACACGUCAACGCGUGGGUUGUCACCACGGUGCUCAUCUCCAAGCGAGAAAUUUGGCCAAGACAAUAGCCAGGGACAAGCCAGUGAGUACGUUUGAAUGUACUCGCAAACAUUAAGAACACGGGUAUAAUAAAUCGAAAACAUGCUCUGGACUAUUAUGUGUUCACACGUCUGUUACGAAAAGGUACGAAAACCAAGAUGCACACAUGUGGUUAAAAUAAUUCAAAGUAAAAUACUGGGUGCCAAGCGAGUGUCUGAAAGACUCCUCGAGCGGAAAAUGCGGAUUAAUAAUACAGGUGCCAAACGAGUGUCUGAAAGACUCCUCGAGCAGAAAAUGCAGAAAUAAUAAUGCCGCAGUCGGGCGUCGGGGCGACACCACAUAAAGGGCUUAUAAAAGAUAAAAGAACGACAGGCAUGCCGCAGUCGGGCGUCUGAGCGACACCACAGAAAGGGCUUAUAAGAAAAUUAAUCACAGCGACUAUCCCGGAGGUAGGACCAUCCCAGGGAUACUCGAUCAUAUACAUGAAAAAAAAGGUUAGUCCAAAAUAAUAAAGAUCAUAAUCCAUAGGAGCCACAAUCAUAAAUAAUAUUUAGUACAGUCGUUUCUCCAUCCGAAAACCGAUAAAUUAGUCAAGACGUAUCUCCAUCCGAAUACCGUUGUUGUGAUCCAGUUAACCGUGUCUCCAUCCGAAUACCGUUACCGAGACUCAAGUCAGACUGAGGCUUUCACUCAAGAACAAGACUAUCCAACAGGAUAUAUCCUCUGCAGAGGGAGUACCAUUUUCCACGAGUAACGGGAUUACUCAGUCCCUCGGGACUAAUUCCGUCUACGGUCUUUUGAUCGAAAACACGCCUGACCUGCACACACCAGCUUAACCCACCAGUGUCUGGAAUCACCCACGACACCUGCCAAGUAAAACUCUAAGUGGGGAGGCUACAACCUCGACGUAGCAUGGGAUCACAAAAUUUAUACCGCGCGCACACUGGGGAAGCUAUCCCCUUCGGCUACAACCGAAACACCCAUGCCCCCGGACCGGAUGACUGUCUUUAAUCCAUGGCCAUGGGACCCUCAUCACGGCCUCUCUGUACGGUGUGUGCUUUGGAAAGGGGGUUGACAACCUACUGAACCAUACCCUGUCCCCUGCAGGAACAAGUGGUGGUACCAACAAAAGGAAGCUACUGAUCCAUACUCGGUCUACAACCGACUCAGGUGGUCCAGGCAUCCACCAACAAUAUUACCACGAGUGAAAUAAAUCACCACUCCUCGAGCCUCACCAAGCUAUGCCGGGCAUACUCGUCUCGAUGAGGGAUUAGGGACAAGCUCGUGUCUACCCAAGACCACGACUCUCCCGGCUUCCUACCGGUGUGCAAGAGAAGCUCACGAGGAUGACCCAAAUCACUAGUGUAUCCAUCUGCUGACCACAAAACAACUCCAGAGUGCACUUAUGCACGAGACUAUAUCGGUACAUAAACCAUCACAUACUCCAGGACAAAAGGUGUUUUGAUCGCAUCAAAACACCACAACAAAAUAUUAUGCCAGAGUUCAGAAAUGCUUGCCUUCAAGAGUAUGCAAAGGAUGCACUUAUUGGAAGCUUUCCUUUUCCUCCAAAAUCCUAUUUUGCAAAAUACACAAAUAACAAAUAUUUCAAACACAGUACCAAAACCUGUCUCAAAUAUUUUUUAAAAAAUCUUAAAAUAAACUAGAUGAAAUUUGAGAGAGGUAGGAAAAAGAAUCAACUCAUUUGGAGUUUUAUUUUAAAAGUUACAGCCAGUCAAAGUUUGGUCAACUCUGUUUUUUUUAAAUAAAACCAGAAAAAGGAAAACGCUUCGAGGAAAAUACGCUUUCGCAGCAGAGAAACGUACGCGGGGUUUUGCGCCUUCACUUAAACAGAGAGAGGUGGCUGCGCGGGUCACUGACAGUGGGUCCAGAGGGCCCACUAGUCAGGUUUGACUGGUCUCCCCCUCCCUCCUUUCUCUGCGCCCGAACGGUGGCGGGGCUCCGGCGAUCGCCGCGACGAACGGCUGCACCUCAUGGGCAUCCAAGGGCGGGGAUGGAACGGCUAGACCGAGGCGGUCCUUUGGGUGGUUGAAGGGUCGCCGGAGGUGAAGGGAAUCGCCGGCGGCGAGCUCCGCGGCGGGGGAAAGCUACGGUGGUGAAGUGCUUUUGGUGCUCCGGUGGUCUCCGACCAAAGUUGGGUAGCUGGGCAGCUCCGCUAGACUACGGGGAAGUUCUUGGUGGCGCUGGAAUGGUGAAAGGGUGGCCGGCUGCGACGAAUCGCACCGGAGUUUGGCGGCGGCCGGGCUGGCCGGAGUUGAGGGAGACGGCCACUACAGGUCGAUUCACUACGCGGGAAGCUCUACGAGGAGUGUCUGAAGUCGCGGGAGUGCUCGGAGGGGCUCGGGGACCCUUUAUAUAGGCGCUCGAGGUCGGACCGUGGCGGUAGAAGAUAGGAUCGUCGGCGACAGCCGUUGCUGUAGUUGCAGGGCAUCGUGGCGGCGACGAACGCGUUGCGACGAGCGGGAGGAUAAGCACGGCCUGUGCUCCGGGGCAGCUGGCGCGCGCUGGUGGUUUAGGCGGCGCCGUCCGCGGCGGAAUCCGCUGCCGACGCCGGCGUGCCGCCAAGGGCGCGGCCAGCGGCGCAGCAGGGCGUCAGAGCUACCGUGGAGCAGGGGCGGCUAGUGCGCGGCUCAGCGAUGCAGAGGGGGUCAGGGUCGGGUCGCGUCGCAUGCGGCAGUGCGGCGUGUCGGCGUAGUGCGCGCGCGUGCAAAACGUGCGCUCUGGGCGCGCCCAGAGCACGCACGGCACCCGUUCGACGCAAUGCCAGCGCGCUCUAGAGCUCGAGGGUGGAGCUGGCACUGCACAGGAUGACGGUGGGGGAAGCAAGACAUUUAGUGGACAAGGUGGAUAGGUCAGGGGUUCAAGUCCACAAUGCAAACCAGAGAGCUUGCCAAAAAUGACUGUGCACACCAGGUGUUUGACAGAAUGCCAGAUGCACUUAGGCAACUCUUGGAGUGGCCAAAAUCUCCAGAUCAGUGUCUCUUUAGAUGCAGGAGAUGGUGGUAAGGUCAGUUUGGCAAAAACAGAAAGUAGACAGUGCAAGUUUUGCAAAACUCCAGUUUUGGGCAGAAAGAAAAAGGGUUUAGAACAUGCAUUUCAAAACCUCCAAUGAGCCCAAUCUCCUGGACUUAAGAGUUUGGUAGGGAGGGCUACAAGUAGGAAAAAGCUCAGGGUUACUAGAGUAAAGAAAGAUAAGGUUGCAGUACAAAUCAUCAAAUUGGACCAGAAUGCAUAAGAGGUUGAUCCACUCAAAUUUAUCAAAGAACAUCACUGGGUUUUUGCUUGAAGAUGAAUUGUAUGCAUCCACUGACAUCUUCAAACACUUGGAAGAAUUUUUAAAGAAAUAUUUAAAUGGGUUGUAGUGCAAAAGUGCCUACUGGACCAGAUUGGAAAAGUUGGGGUAGAGUUCAAAAAUCUCCAAUGGCCAGAAGGUAUUCUUGCACAAAAGUGAUGUGGAACCAUCACAUGACCUCCCCAAAUUUUGGUGGAACUUUUAGGAGCAUUUAUCAAGUGGUUGUAGUGCAAAUGGGCUCCAAAUGCAAAAGAAAUCAUUUUAUAAGAGCAAAGUUUUGAGAAAAUAAAUCUUGCAACAUUUGAAUCCACUGAAUAAAUAAUUGUUUUAUUAUAGAGAGAAAUCAAGUCCAACCAUACCUUUGAAGGUUUUUCCCAUAAGAGGUAUAAAGUCCAAAAUCACAAAAGGACAAAUUUGACAAUUGGAAAAGUUUUAUUUCCUGGCAACAUUUUAAUCAAUAAAAGCAAAGCCAAAAUUUUGGGUGUCACAGGCCAAUACCGGGCAGUGCAAUCAAAGGUUGUCUUUUCUUAUAGGGUCGCCUAUAGUGAUAUCUUUUAUAUGGAAACAAUACCGACUUUUAUGUAUUGCCUGAUUGUGUCUUCAUUUCCUCUAGAUUACAUCCAUAUCUUCGACAGAGCAUUAAAACACGAAGAUAUGCAUAUCUUUGUGAUUAUUGGUGAAGUGACAAUCAAAGAGAAUAUACGAGAAUGUCAUGUUUAAAUUUAGGAAAUAUGAGCGUGAAUCCACUCCUCACAUAGCGCAAGACACUCUCAGCGGGCUUCUUCAUUGAUGUGUGAAAAGCGAGAUUCUUCUUCCAAUCGUUUGGCUUUGUCUUUGGUGGUCUUACUGAGCAUGGUCACGCUCUUCACAUCCAUGUUAUUCACGAGCUUCAUGAUCUUGCUGUUAUAGUCUCGAGUUUGUUCUUGUAGCCCAUUGACACAAGGAGGGGUGGAUAAUGAUGGGCUCUUAGUCCUUGGAAUUGUAGCUUCUAGAUCGAUGUGAAAUUGACGAUGAGGUAUGCUCGAAGCAAUGUGAAAUUGAUGAUGUUCUAGAACGGUAUGAGAUUGACUAAGGGUGUGUAGUUAUUCAUGAUGUUGCAGAAGUCGUCCAUUUGCUCUUGCAAGUGACCAUCCUAGCUUUCAUCGCUUUGAGCUUUGACUUCUCGCAUUUCAGCGUCAGUGCAUUGGAUGCGCUCAUCCCGUUUUGCAUUGACUUUGUAAACUGCUAGUUGAAGACCAAAAUGUGUAUCCUUGGUCACAUGUUCAAAGGAGUUUGUGUUGCCUUCGAGGUCUGGAUGUGUUCCACUCUUCCUAGACAUGCAUACUAAGGCAUAACUGCUACUUGUGAUUGGCGUUGGGAUUUUCGUGAAGAGGAAGGGUGAAAUGGUAUAGUAGCAGAAAGUAUUUCCCUUAGUAAAGAAUCAAGGUUUAUCGAACCAAUAGGAGACUCAUAUAAACGAAGGUCGUCAGUACCUGCACACACACAAACAAAUACUUGGACCUAACGCGGGCAAGAGGGUUGUCAAUCCCCUUGUACUUGUUAUUUGUAAGGAUUAAUUCUGAUUGUGGUAGAUAUAUAAAUUGCAAAAGUAAAUAAAUUACAACAAUGUAUUUAGGGUUUUAGUAAUAUGAGGAGAAUGGACCCGGGGCCAUAGCUUUCAUUAGAGGCAUCUCUCUCAAGAACAUAGAAAACGGUGGGUACACAAAUUACUGUUGGGUAAUAGAUACAAAAGCGCAUAGUUAUCAUGUUAUUCAUGGCAUGAUCGAUACAUAGGCAUUACAUCCGUGACAAGUAGACCGUUAAACUUCGUGGCGCAUGCUCCUUGUAAACUGCGUUGGGAUUUUCCCCGAAGAGGAGGGAAGAUGCAGUACAGUAGAGAUAAGUAUUUCCCUCAGCUAGAACCAAGAUUAUCGAACCAAUAGGAGAACCAAGCAAAUUCCCUUCAAUAGCACAUACACACAUAAAAACGAAUACUUGCACCCAAUGCAGGCAAGAGGGUUGUCAAUCCCCUUGAAUUCGUUACUUGCAAGGAUUAAUUCUGAUAGUGAUAGAUAGAUAAAUUGCAAAACAAAAUGAAGGUAAAUAAGUUGCAGCAAAGUAUUUUUGUUUUUUAAUAAUAUGGUAAAGGUAGACCCGGGGCCAUAGUUUUCACUAGAGGCUUCUCUCUCGAACACAUAGCAUACGGUGGGCGAACAAAUUACUGUUGGGCAAUUGAUAGAGAAGCGCAUAGUUAUGACGUUAUUCAUGGCAAUGAUCAUGUAUAUAGGCAUCACGUCCGUGACAAGUAGACUAACUCCUGCCUGCAUCUACUACUAUUACUCCACCAAUCGACCGCUAUCCAUCAUGCAUCUAUGGUAUUAAGUUCAUAACAAACAGAGUAACACUUUAAGCAAUAUGACAUGAUGUAGACAAAGUGAACCCAAUCAAUAUGAAUAAAAUCCAUCAUUUUAUCCUUAAUGGAAACAACACAAUACGUGCCUUGCUACCCCUUCUGUCACGAGGUGACGACACCGCAAGAUUAAACCCAUCACAAAGCACCUCUCCCACUAAAGAUAAAUCAAUCUAGUUGGCCAAACUAAACGGAUAGAUUAGAGAGAAAUAGAAAGCUAAAACAAUCAUGCAUAAUAAAGUUCAGAAAAGACUCAAUUACUUUCAAUGAAUAAUAUAAUCAUAAAGCAACAAUUCAUCGGAUCCUAACAAACACACCGCAAAAGAACAUUACAUCGGAUAGAACUGCAAGAAGAUCGAGGAGAACAUGGUAUUGAAAAUCAAAGAGAGAGAAGAAGCCAUCUAGCUACGAGCUAUGGACCCAUAGGUGUGUGGUAAACUAAUCACGCAUCAUCGGAAGGCAACAAGGAUGAUGUAGAAGCCCUCCAUGAUCGAUUCCCCCUUCGACAGAGUACCAGAAAAGGCCUCCAGAUGGGACCGCGGGAGAAUAGAAGCUUGCGUCGGUGGAAAAAGUGUUUCGAGUGGCUCUCUAUUGGUUUGAGAAUAUUUGGGAAUUUAUAGAGGUGGAAUUAGGUCAAGCGGAGUUGCUUGGGAGUCACGAGCUCAGGGGGCGCGCCCUGUGAGCUCAUGGAUCUCCCAUACAUCUUAUGGCCUCCUCCCGAACCUUCUAGGGUCCCUUUUGGUCCAGAAAAAAUCACCAUAAAGUUUUAUCGUGUUUGGGCUUCGUUUGAUACUAAUUUUUGAAAAUCCAAAAACAAGCAAAAACAGGAAUUGGCACUGGGCACUGGGUUAAUAGGUUAGUCCAAAAAAUGAUAUAAAAUAGCAUAUAAAGCACUCAAGAUUGAUAAUAUAAUAGCAUGAUACAAUAAAAAAUUAUAGAUACGUAUCAACGCCUACUACUAUUACCCCACUUCGAGGGCGCUUCUAUGCUUGCCUCUCCAGGUAUUAAGUUCAUGAAAAACAGAGUCAUGCUUUAAGCAUGAUGACAUAAUGUAGACAAAAUAAUACCAAGCAAUAUGAUCAAACCCAGUUAUUUUACCCUUAGUAGCAACAAUACAAAUAUGUGCCUCGCUAUCCCUUCUGUCAAGAGGUGAUGACACCACAAGAUUGAACCUACCACAAAGCACCUCUCCCAUGCUAGUUGGAUAAAUUAAACGGAUGGAUCGGAGAGAAAUACAAUGCUAUAAAUAAUCACACAUAAUAAAGUUCAAAAAUAACUCAGUUACUUUGAAUGAACAAUCUAAUCAUAGACCCAUUAUUCAUCAGACCCCAACAAACGCACCGCAAAAGAUUACAUAAUAUCGAUCUCCGAAGAGAACAUUGUAUUGAAGAUCAAAGAGAAAGAGAGAGAGAGAGAGAGAGAGAUAGAGAGCCAUCUAGCUACUGCUAUGGACCCAUAGGUCCUGUGAGGAACUACCCACGUAUCAUCGGAGUGGAAGCAAGGUUGAUGUAGAGGCCCUCUGUGAUAGAUUCCCCCUCCGGCAGAGUACUGGCGGAGGCCUCCAGAUGGAAUCAUGGAAGAACAGAGUCUUGCGAUGGCGGAAUAAUUGUUUCGGGUCUCGCUCUAGUUUUUUUGAAAUAUUUGGGAUUUUGUAGCGCUGGAAUUAGAUAGGAUGGAGGCACGAUGGGCCCACAAGACAUCAUAGCGUGCCUUCCCCACUGGGGCAUUCCUGAUGCCUUGUCGUCUCCUCAUCUGGCUUUUGGUCCUUCCCCGAAGCUUUUAGGGUCCCUCCUUGUUCAGAAAAAGUCGUCAAAAAGUUUCGUCGCGUUUGGACUUUGUUUGAUAGGGAUUUUCUGUAAAACCAAAAACAUGCAGAAAAAAGCAACUAGCACUUGACACUGGGUUAAUAGCUAAGUUCCCAAAAAUGAUAUAAAUAAAGCAUACAAGAUUGAUAAUAUAAUAGCAUGAGACAAUCAAAUAUUAUAGAUACGUUGGAGAUGUAUCAAUAGCCUAGUGGUGGAAAGCGGUUCAUGCCUUCCCACCUACCCAGGUUCAAGGAACGUCACUUGAAAUUUGGGUUUGUUGCACCAAUUAUACCGUAAGGGCUUCCCUUACAUUCAUUCAGGACAAAAAUCUUUCCCUAGACAUUGUGAUAAUCGAACAAGACAUGAGUAGCAAACGAAAUUUACUAUACCGAAGUUGCAUAUUCCUGAUUGAGUUGAAAAAUCCAAAAGACCACUUGAUUGACAAUUGGAAAUGAGAGAUAACUCGGGAAAGAAUCAUAUCUAAGAGAUUGCACACCUGACACAUGACUUAUAUGUGUAGCUUGGCGUAGUUAGUGGAACAAAAUCGAGCAAGAAGUAAUCAAGAUACUGGCAAGUUUGGUUAACAUCCAAAUGAUUGCAAAAUGUGAUACACUUAGAUCAAAACAUGGAGAAAUUAACAAUAGAAAUGCAUACACAAGGAUAGUGGGGCUUGUGCAACCAAGGGAAUGAGCAAAUAGAGUAUGACCUAUCGAUGACCAAUGUUCGUGUUACACUAACACAAAGAUAGACAAUAGCUUGAUUGUCCGCGAGGAAAAUACUCGAGAAAAUUGGUACCACUCUACAACAAAGAAGCACAAUGUUCCCUAUACGAUGUAUCAUGUAUGUUUUUUCUAUCUAUUUUUCUUAUAAACUUUGUAUUUUCUUUCUUUCUCCUUUUGAACAUUUUUCCCUUUUCCCCUUUUCUUUGGGUCCUAACCAAAAGAUGCGACAAACAUCACAAGAUAUUCCAAGAAGUAUUUAUAAGAUACCAAAUUAUGCGUAAUAGGUCACUAUAGUGCUGAUGUUCACGUGGCCCUACAAUACUUACAUAGCUAAUCUCGAUGGGACUAAAUUGUUUGCAAAGGAGUCAAAUGGCUAUCAAAGGCAAUGACAAAGGAAGAACUGAUAAGAUUAUGAUAAAAUUGAUAACUCGUGUCACCCACCCUUUACGAAGUCAGAAUGUUGACCUUGCUUUCGAUGAAGGUGUCAAAGACGAUGAAGUGGUCGUCGUCGAAGACGAAUUUGGUGUCGAUGGACUUGGGAGUUGUCAAUGUAGAAUGUGCCCAACGAUCAAAACUUGCAACGAUGCUCGGGUGCAUUCCUUAUGAAAUCAUUGACCUUAUACGAAGCAUGGUAUAAGGACCAUGCCAGAUGAAAAGUAGCAGGACGGAUGCUCUGGGCUGAUUGUGUCAGAUAAGACAAGUGACAAAAACUGCUCUUCUUUGGAUUUACUUGGAGCACAUGAUAUUCAGAGGGAAAGACACAUUUGGGGGCUAGGAUAGGGAAAUCAGCCAAAGUAGUACAAAAGGUAACCAAACCACAAGUAAACACUGAAUCCUUGGAGCAAAACCAAUCCCAUCUCACCGAUUCAAUAAAUCAUAUGAAAUUGUUUAAGGCUAUUUUUGUGGGAAUUUCCAAAACUGGGUUAGAAUAAAUUAAAAAUCAAAACAAGGUUAUAAACAAAGCAUAUAUGAGAUAUAUUUUAUGUUGCUCCUGAUAUCAAAUGAUACAAGGAAAACAAUAGGGGUGCCACGAUCUUCACAAAUUGGAGGUGGAUUGAAGCAAUGCUAGGAGCAACUAUAAAAAAGCAAAAAAUCAAAGGGGAAAACACAAGGAAGGAUAAGAUUCAUGACCAACUACACAUAUGAUAACUAAAAGCCAUACAAGGGGUCUCAUAGAUCCAACAACGUCCAAAGGAAAAGGGUAACAAGCAGGAAAACAAUCCAUCUCAAAGAUGGAGGUCUUGUAUUACAAGAGGAAUCUUCUCCACACAUGGAGCUAUUGAUACUCCCCAGAGUCUUCUCUCAAGUUUAGUAUAUAAUACUUGCUAACCCUAGAUCUGAGUUGGAUACUAUUCAUUACUCCUAUAAAGGAUGCUAGAGUACCCGCCUCCUCAGAGCCUCUGUGGGCAAGGAGGGACUCUGCUCACUCUGUUGCAUGUUGGUGUGGCACGGGCGCCUCCCCGGGGCUCUAUGCAUCGUCCGAUCUACCCAGACAACACACAUCCAGGAGGUUUCGGUGCUAAAACUGGCGGAUCUCAGCUAGGGGGUCCCUAGUUGUAGGUCUAGGAACAAUGGUAACAGGGGACAAAGGGAGACGACCUUUACCUAGGUUUGGGCCCUCUCAAAGAGGUAAAACCCUAUGUCCUGCUUUGAUUGUAUUGAUAUGGUGUACAUGUUGGCGUCAAUAAAAUCGGGGUAUUACUAACCCGGUAAGAAGAGCCUUGACAACGAAGGCAAAUAUAUUUCUUCGUCUGGGGCAUGCGAACGAAGACCCUGAUGAACCAGCCGUACUAUGGCCUGGGUUGUUUUACUUUCCGCUACUAUACUCUUAGAAUUGCAUGUGUAGGGUGAUACUUGAUACGUCCAUUUUGCAUCAUGUUUUCCUACUGAUAUUUAUAAUGUUUUUAAUCAUUAUAACACUUUGUGAUGCAAUUCUAAUUCCUUUUCUCUCUUAAUUUUCAAGAUUUACAUGAAGAGGGAGAUUGCUGGCAGAUGGAAUUCUGGACCUGGAAAAGCUACAUCAGAGAUACCUAAUCUGCAAAACUCCAAAUGAGCUGAAAUAUCAUGAAGAAUUUUUAUGGAAUAUAUAAAAAAUACUAGAGCAAAGAUCUACCAGAGGGGGCCACCAGUUGCCCACAAGGCAACAGGGUGCGUCCUGAUGCCUUGUGGGGCCACUGGCAGGCCUCUGGCCCCCAUCUUCUGCUAUAUGAAGGGUUUUUACCUAGAAAAAAAUAAGAGAGGGCUUUCGGGAUGGAGCGUCGCCGUCUCGAGGUGGAACAUGGACAAGAGCACUUUUGCUCUCUGGCGGAGCGAUUCUGCCGGGGAUACUUCCCUCCGGGAGGGGAAAAUCGAAGCCAUCGACAUCACUAACGAUCCUCUCAUCGUGGGAGGACCAAUCUUCAUCAACAUCUUCCCCAGAACCAUCUCAUCUCAAACCCUAGUUCAUCUCUUGUAUCAAUCUUUGUCUCAAUACCUCAGAUUGGUACAUGUGGGUUGCUAGUAGUGUUGAUUACAUCUCGUAGUUGAUGCUAGUUGGUUUACUUGGUGGAAGAUUAUAUGUUCAUAUCCUUGAUGAUAUUCAAUACCCCUCUGAUUUUGAACAUGAAUAUGAUUUGUGAGUAGUUACUUUUUGUCAUCGCGGAGCACGAUCACCUAUGGGGCAAGGCAGCCCCUUUGUGGUUCGAUGGGGGAGCGAUCACAUUGAACAAAGAGUAGAGGCAGCGGGGUAGCACAGUGAGGAAGGCUCUUUUUUACCCAGGUUCGGGCCACUGAGCAGUGUAAUACCCUACUCCUGCUUUGGUGGAUUGAUUUGUAGGAACACGAAGGCAUAGAGCGCUCAAGCCCGGCAUGGGUGCCUAGGGGAGAGCAGCUACGCGCGUACAAGUGCUAGGGGAUCUCAAGUCACUAAAGGUAAUCUCUUCUCCAGCAGGCUGCCACGUGCUUGGCUGGAUCCACCUAGCUACCUUAGGGCUUGACACCGCAUCGAUUAGUGACUGGUGGUUUGAUGAGGUGGAGCGGUGGCAUCCUAGCGGAGGUCUGCCGGCACGGAGCCUGUUGGGCCCUUAUCUUGGGGGUCUUGUUUUAGCCUUGGCAGCCCUGGAGACCCUGCCGGGGUGGCUUGGCCUUGGUCCCAGGCGCAGUCUCGACCCUGCCGGCCUCGCCUGCCCAGCAAGGGAGAUCCCCCUGAGGAUCUUCAAGUUGUUUACUUGACUUGGUCUUGAGCUUGGGAUGCCCGACAUGAUCUGUCUAUCCCCGGUAAGCACAAUGGUCUAUGCACAAGUUAGGGGGAAACAAACACCCCUGUUUUUGUACACCGACAGGAGCCCCCGGGCCUGAGCCACACGUGCCGAGGGGAGUCAUUGGGUUAGGCCCAAACAGUGCACAGACACGCGGCGAAAAACCACUAUCUACGCAGUUUUGACCAUGAUGAUAUGUGAAUCACACGUCCAUCCUACACAAUUACUACGGUUUGUGGGAAUGUGGGCUUGCGGCAGUUCUUUGGUAGUGCGCAUGUGAGAGCGGUUUUUAUCAGGAGAAACAGCGAAGAGCCAGCCCCCUCGCGUAGUCUCAAUAAAAAGGUAACGCGAAGGGGCACUACUCAUUCGCACCCGUUUCCCUCGCUUCAUCUUCUUUCUUGCGACGGAAACCACCCCCGCCGCCACCAUCUGUCCCUAGGGUCCAAGGAGGUCGUUGGGAUUAAACUUUUGUGAUUCAUCCACCACAGUGCUGUCAAGCAAAAGACAUAUUUUCACCUUAUGUUAGGUCCUUGCUAUUUUCGUGAUGUAAUAUUACUUUCAAGUAGCCAUAUGAACUUAUGCUAUCCCUUCGCUUUACUCCUGCUUUUGGUCUUUGUAUAAUUUGUGCACCCUACGCAUGCUGGAGCCUUGCCAGGGCUAACCACUAGCCGCGAGCGCUUUGAGGACGGAUCCUUAGCAGCCUACUGGUAGUGUUGCCAUCGGAAAGUUACCCUUCAACGUUAUCAACGCGGCCACCUGAGCUGUUGAGCGGACUCGAAAUGGACAAGGGCGCGAAUGACCACGGCGGGGUCCCUUUGCGUGCAGGUUUCUUAUACAAUCACUAGGUGUCAAGAGAAGGGAAUCGCAAACAAGUGAGCUAAGGAACAUGAAAUUGAGAAGGUUUUAAACUUAGCUUUUCCUUUUGCCGCAAUCUCCGUUGUGCAAAAACGGAUGGCUGAGUCCUUCCUUCUUCCUCCUCCCCUGGAAACCUCGCACGCGAAGAUCUUAUCCCUUCGCGCAUAGGAUGCGUAUGAAGGAUCUUGAUACGUCAGGAAUGCCACUAAGGGAAGGUGUGGUGGAAUUUUGCCGUGGCGUCCCUGGCAACAUCUCGUAGUUGCCGGUGUCAAAUAGUCAUUCUGUGGACUUGCCACGGCCCGCAAUACCACCAGGCUCUCGAUCCUGCCGGAUGGGUACCCGUGUCGCUGGGCGCUGGCUUGUUGAUAACUGGGCCAAGCACGCGUGCCUCACUGUCGGGGUUGCUUCCGCUGAUCACAGCUUUUGCUUCCACGACAGGGAAGCCGUGGUCUGUGCCCGAUCGAGCAAGAUUAUGUUCGCGGUUGCGCUCGCGGCCACAAGGGGGAGGCGGAGGUAAGACCCCCACGUCGCUCGUGCCACGACCGCCGCCUUCACCUGAUCGUAGAGGUAGGCGUCUGCCUCUAGUUUCUCUGCCGCCUACUUCCCACGUGGUGGGCUUGGUGACUGCACCGCCUGCACCGGCCGCACUCACAGUGACAUUUGCUCCGUCUGCUGCGGUGGUGCCACUUGCGUCACCCGCAGACAGAAACGAUGGGCGCCGGAAUGUAUGGGGUUUGGUUGCUAUGGAGUCUUCCUUCUUGGGCGUCAUUGGUGACAUAGUAGACGAUGAAGAUCGACGCGAUGGCUGCUGCUUCAGGUUCACACAAGCGAUUCCCCCUACCUGGUGCGCCAGGGAUGCCGUGGUGGAGCACGAUGACCUAUUGGGCAGGGCAGCCCCUUUGUGGUUCGGCGGGUGAGCGAUCACAUUGCACAAAGAACAGAGGAAGCAGGGCAACACGGUGAGGAAGGCUCUUUUUUACCCAGGUUCGGGCCGCUGAGCAGCGUAAUACCCUACUCCUGCUUUGCUGGAUUGAUCUGUAGGAACACGAAGACACGGAGCACUCAAGCCCGGCAAGGGUGCCUCGCGGAAGCAGCUACACACGUACAAGUUCUAGGGGAUGAAAAGAUCAAAUCCUUUGCUAGGUUGCCUCAGGCCUCCUUUUAUAGCUUAAGGGGCGACCACAGUGGCAAAAUAGUCAUUAUAUGAGGAUUAGAUAGCUAACAGUGCUAUCAUACCUAACUCUGGCAGUUAGGAUAAACUGCAAUAAAUGCUACCUUAGGUGUCGUGUGGGGAGGCAGUCCCGGCAAGGUUCCUCCACCACUUGCCUAACCACCUCUUAUUUGCAUGACACGUCUUUGGGACGGGUGUCAUUAAAGGUAAUGUCUUCUCCAGCAGGAUACCACGUGCUUGGCUGGAUCCACCUAGCUGCCUUA